rnacentral:rRNA from 1 species
UACGAAGGGGGCUAGCGUUGCUCGGAAUCACUGGGCGUAAAGCGCACGUAGGCGGACUCUUAAGUCGGUGGUGAAAUCCUGGAGCUCAACUCCAGAACUGCCUUCGAUACUGAGAGUCUUGAGUCCGGGAGAGGUGAGUGGAGCUGCGAGUGUAGAGGUGAAAUUCGUAGAUAUUCGCAAGAACACCAGUGGCGAAGGCGGCUCACUGGCCCGGUACUGACGCUGAGGUGCGAAAGCGUGGGGAGCAAACAGGG